rnacentral:rRNA from 1 species
GGCCUAACACAUGCAAGUCGAACGAGACCUUCGGGUCUAGUGGCGCACGGGUGCGUAACGCGUGGGAAUCUGCCCUUGGGUACGGAAUAACUCAGAGAAAUUUGUGCUAAUACCGUAUAAUGUCUUCGGACCAAAGAUUUAUCGCCCAAGGAUGAGCCCGCGUAAGAUUGGCUUGUUGGUGAGGUAAAAGCUCACCAAGGCGACGAUCUUUAGCUGGUCUGAGAGGAUGAUCAGCCACACUGGGACUGAGACACGGCCCAGACUCCUACGGGAGGCAGCAGUGGGGAAUAUUGGACAAUGGGCGAAAGCCUGAUCCAGCAAUGCCGCGUGAGUGAUGAAGGCCUUAGGGUUGUAAAGCUCUUUUACCCGGGAUGAUAAUGACAGUACCGGGAGAAUAAGCCCCGGCUAACUUCGUGCCAGCAGCCGCGGUAAUACGAAGGGGGCUAGCGU